CGUGUAGGCGGCCUGGUAAGUCAGGCGUGAAAGGUUCUGGCUCAACCAGAGACUUGCACCUGAUACUGCCAGGCUUGAGUGUAGGAGAGGAGAGCGGAAUUCUUGGUGUAGCGGUGAAAUGCGUAGAUAUCAAGAAGAACACCAGUGGCGAAGGCAGCUCUCUGGCCUGUCACUGACGCUGAGGCGCGAAAGCCAGGGGAGCGAACG
rnacentral:rRNA from 1 species